GUCCAGCCUGCCCAGUGACUCCCCUUGUUUAACGGCCGCGGUAUCCUAACCGUGCAAAGGUAGCGUAAUCAUUUGUUUUUUAAUUAAAGACUCGUAUGAAAGGCACCACGAGGGCCAAACUGUCUCCUUUCUCUGAUCAGUGAAACUAAUCUCCCCGUGAAGAAGCGAGGAUUUUUUUACAAGACGAGAAGACCCUAUGGAGCUUUAAACUUUACAACACCUGCUAUCACCCCAUCUCUAUUCCCGAAAACUACCCCUCCUGCACCCUGUUUGUAAAUUUUUCGGUUGGGGCGACCCCGGAGAACAACCAAUCCUCCGCAAUGGAAAGACCUAAUCUUUAGUAAAAAGCCACAGCUUAAUUCAUCAGUUCAACUGACAUACAUUGACCCAAAAUUUUGAUCAACGAACUUAGUUACCCUAGGGAUAACAGCGCUAUCUACUUUGAGAGUUCCUAUCGACAAGUAGGCUUACGACCUCGAUGUUGGAUCAGGGUAUCCUAGAGGCGCAGCCGCUUCUAAAGGUUCGUUUGUUCAACGAUUAAAACCCUACGUGAUCUG
rnacentral:rRNA from 1 species